UACGUAGGGCGCAAGCGUUGUCCGGAAUUAUUGGGCGUAAAGAGCUCGUAGGCGGUUUGUCGCGUCUGCUGUGAAAGCCCCGGGGCUCAACCCCGGUCUGCAGUGGGUACGGGCAGACUAGAGUGCAGUAGGGGAGACUGGAAUUCCUGGUGGUAGGCGGUCGAAAUGCGCAGGAUAAUCAGGAGGAACACCGAUG
rnacentral:rRNA from 1 species